rnacentral:rRNA from 1 species
UAGGGAAUAUUGGUCAAUGGGUGCAAGCCUGAACCAGCCAUGCCGCGUGCAGGAAGAAGGCCUUCUGGGUUGUAAACUGCUUUUGUCAGGGGAUAAAAUGACUGUGCGCAGUUAAUUGAAGGUACCUGGCGAAUAAGCCACGGCUAACUACGUGCCAGCAGCCGCGGUAAUACGUAGGUGGCAAGCGUUGUCCGGAUUUAUUGGGUUUAAAGGGUGCGUAGGCGGCUUUGUAAGUCAGUGGUGAAAUACUCUAGCUUAACUAGAGGGGUGCCAUUGAUACUGCGGAGCUUGAGUACAGAUGAGGUAGGCGGAAUUGACGGUGUAGCGGUGAAAUGCAUAGAUAUCGUCAAGAACACCGAUAGCGAAGGCAGCUUACUGGGCUGUAACUGACGCUGAUGCACGAAAGUGUGGGGAUCAAACAG